rnacentral:rRNA from 1 species
ACUACGGGAGGCAGCAGUGGGGGAUAUUGCACAAUGGGGGGAACCCUGCUGCAGCGACGCCGCGUGGGUGAAGAAGCGCCUCGGCGCGUAAAGCCCUGUCAACAUGGAAGAAAAUGACGGUACCUGAAGAAGAAGCCCCGGCUAACUACGUGCCAGCAGCCGCGGUAAUACGUAGGGGGCAAGCGGUAUCCGGAUUGACUGGGUUUACAGGGGGCGCAGCCGGCGAUGCAAGCCAGGAGUGAAAGCCCGGGGCCCAACCCCUGGACUGCUCGUGGAACUGCGUGGCUGGAGUGCAGGAGGGGCAGGCGGAAUGCCUGGUGUAGCGGUGAAAUGCGUAGAUAUCAGGAGGAACACCGGUGGCGAAGGCGGCCGGCUGGACUGCAACUGACGUUGAGGCCCGAAAGCGUGGGGAGCAAACAGGAUUAGAUACCCGUGUAGUC